AUACAGAGGUGGCAAGCGUUGUUCGGAAUUACUGGGCGUAAAGGGCGCGUAGGCGGCCUUCUAAGUCUUGUGUGAAAUCCCUCGGCUCAACUGAGGAACUGCACGGGAUACUGGAUGGCUUGAGUUCGGGAGAGGGAAGCGGAAUUCCGGGUGUAGCGGUGAAAUGCGUAGAUAUCCGGAGGAACACCGGUGGCGAAGGCGGCUUCCUGGACCGAUUACUGACGCUGAGGCGCGAAAGCUAAGGGAGCAAACGGGA
rnacentral:rRNA from 1 species